CCAGAGUUUAUUCCAUAUCAGUUUCUUCCCUCCAGGUCUUUUUCACAAUUAGAAGAUGGUAUGUGAAAAAGACCUGGAAGGAGGAAACUGAUAUGGAAUAAACUCUGG